rnacentral:rRNA from 1 species
AGCUCCAAUAGCGUAUAUUAAAGUUGUUGCAGUUAAAACGCUCGUAGUCGGAUUUCGGGGCGGGCCGACCGGUCUGCCGAUAGGUAUGCACUGGCCGGCGCGUCCUUCCACCCGGAGACCGCGCCUACUCUUAACUGAGCGGGCGCGGGAGACGGGUCUUUUACUUUGAAAAAAUCAGAGUGUUUCAAGCAGGCAGUCGCUCUUGCAUGGAUUAGCAUGGGAUAAUGAAAUAGGACUCUGGUGCUAUUUUGUUGGUUUCGAACACCGGAGUAAUGAUUAACAGGGACAGUCAGGGGCACUCGUAUUCCGCCGAGAGAGGUGAAAUUCUCAGACCAGCGGAAGACGAACCACUGCGAAAGCAUUUGCCAGGGAUGUUU